rnacentral:rRNA from 1 species
AGCGAACGCUGGCGGCAGGCUUAACACAUGCAAGUCGAGCGGGCAUCUUCGGAUGUCAGCGGCAGACGGGUGAGUAACACGUGGGAACGUACCCUUCGGUUCGGAACAACUCUGGGAAACUGGAGCUAAUACCGGAUACGCCCUUAUGGGGAAAGGUUUACUGCCGAAGGAUCGGCCCGCGUCUGAUUAGCUAGUUGGUGGGGUAACGGCCUACCAAGGCGACGAUCAGUAGCUGGUCUGAGAGGAUGAUCAGCCACACUGGGACUGAGACACGGCCCAGACUCCUACGGGAGGCAGCAGUGGGGAAUAUUGGACAAUGGGCGCAAGCCUGAUCCAGCCAUGCCGCGUGAGUGAUGAAGGCCUUAGGGUUGUAAAGCUCUUUUGUCCGGGACGAUAAUGACAGUACCGGAAGAAUAAGCCCCGGCUAACUUCGUG